AGCGAACGCUGGCGGCAGGCCUAACACAUGCAAGUCGAACGAAGUCUUCGGACUUAGUGGCGGACGGGUGAGUAACACGUGGGAACGUACCUUUUGGUUCGGAACAACUCAGGGAAACUUGAGCUAAUACCGGAUGAGCCCUUAGGGGGAAAGAUUUAUCGCCGAAAGAGCGGCCCGCGUUAGAUUAGCUAGUUGGUGAGGUAAAGGCUCACCAAGGCUACGGUCUAUAGCUGGUCUGAGAGGAUGAUCAGCCACACUGGGACUGAGACACGGCCCAGACUCCUACGGGAUGCAGCAGUGGGGAAUCUUGCGCAAUGGGCGAAAGCCUGACGCAGCCAUGCCGCGUGAAUGAUGAAGGUCUUAGGAUUGUAAAAUUCUUUUACCAGGGACGAUAAUGACGGUACCUGGAGAAAAAGCCCCGGCUAACUUCGUGCCAGCCGCCGCGGUAAUAC
rnacentral:rRNA from 1 species